AUAUAAAGACUUCUCAUUGGGAAGGAAGAAGGAAACUGUCAGUAAAGCAGCAGCUGCAGUGGCUCAGCCGAGUGAAGGAGGAAGUUGCAGAAUAGGCCUUGGCUGCUGCUGCUGCUAAGUCACGUCAGUCGUGUCUGACUCUGUGCGACCCCAUAGACGGCAGCCUACCAGGCUCCCCCGUCCCUGGGGUUCUCCAGGCAAGAACACUGGAGUGGGUUGCCGUUUCCUUCUCCAGUGCAUGAAAGUGAAAAGUGAAAGUGAAGUCGCUCAGUCGUGUCCAACUCUUCGCGACCCCAUGGACUGCAGCCUACCAGGCUCUUCCGCCCAUGGGAUUUUCCAGGCAAGAGUACUGGAGCGGGGUGCCAUUGCCUUCUCCGAGUGUAGUAAUAUUUAGUCAUGAUAGGGAAUGAGGAGGAAGAAGCAGACAUUCUGGGUGACAGACUGGAUUUGGCAACCAAGGAGAAAUAUAUACCAGAAGGUGCCAAGUUAAGAGACGAUGGAGCUGGCUGGAUCCUUCCAGAAUGGAAAAGAAGCUCUUUUGAAAGAUGCCUGGGAAGGUACUACAAGGGUCAAACAAGAUGAUUCAAGCAAAAGCUACCUUAAAAAAUAUGGCUUAUUGAUACUAUCCUCUGUUGCCUUAAAACUGAAAUACUUGGUGCAUGGGAAUGAUGUCCUAGUAAUGGACGGUCUCCUCAAGAAAAGUCAAAAUCUGCAUUUCUUGACAUGGUUAAGUAAAAAGAUGCGAGAGUUGGACUGUGAAGAAAGCUGAGCGCCGAAGAAUUGAUGCUUUUGAACUGUGGUGUUAGAGAAGACUCUUGAGAGUCCCUUGGACUACAAGGAUAUCCAACCAGUCCAUCCUAAAGGAGAUCAGUCCUGGGUGUUCAUUGGAAGGACUGAUGAUGAAGCUGAAACUCCAGUACUUUGGCCACCUCAUGCGAAGAGUUGACUCAUUGGAAAAGACCCUGAUGCUGGGAGGGAUUGGGGGCAGGAGGAGAAGGGGAUGACAGAGGAUGAGAUGGCUGGAUGGCAUCACCGGCUUGAUGGACAUGAAUUUGGGUAAACUCCGGGAGUUGGUGAUGGACAGGGAGGCCUGGCAUGCUGCGAUUCAUGGGGUUGCAAAGAGUCAGACAUGACUGAGUGACUGAACUGAACUGAACUGAAGUAAAAAGAACAUAGAUGAAAUUAAUUUCAAUAGUAUACUUUAUUUAACCCAGUAUAUCCAAAACAUUUUCAUUUCAACAUGCAAUCAAUAUAAAUAUAUUAAUAGGAUUUUCCCAUCCUUUACUUGAUAUUAAGCCUUCAAAAUCCAGUGUGUCCUUUAUACUUAUGCCACAUCUCAGUUCAGAUGAGCCACAUUUCAACUGUUCAGUAGAUGCAUGUGUCUGAUGCCUGCCAUAUUGGAUGGCACCAUUCUGGAGUCAAGGUCUUACGCUGGCAAUCUGUGUCUCCUAGAUAUCUCUCAUAUUCCUCAUCUUGAAAGUGGGAAUAAUGAUACACUUGGGAGUUAAAUUAAUAAUAACAAUAAGAGUAAUGAAAUAAUAAGAAUAGCUAGAUAUAUUUGUCAUGUGACAGGUACUACUAACUCAGAGUAAUAUGGCAUUUAAUUCUUAUAACAAAAUGUAAGAAAAAUCAAGGCAUAAAAUGAUUAAGUAUCUUACCCUAUAUCAUAGCUAGGAAAUAACAAUUUGAGUAGUGCCAGUCUGAUUUCAGCAUCUGAACUCUUUUAUUGAGAAUAACAAUUAAAAAAAGCUCUAACAAUGAUAGCUGCACGCAUGCUAAGUUGCUUCAGUCAUGUCCAACUCUUUGUAACCCUAUGGACUGUAGCCCGCUAGGCUUCUCUGUUCAUGGGACACUCCAGGCAAGAAUACUGGAG
ensembl:lncRNA